AGUCGAGCGGUGAUCAAUUAGUAGCAAUACUAGUUGUGAGCAGCGGCGAACGGGUGAGUAACGCGUAGGAACUUCCUCUAAGUCUCGCAUAGCUAGUCGAAAGAUUAGGUAAUUCGGGAUGUGAUCGAAAGAUUAAAGUCGUAAGACGCUUAGAGCAAGGCCUGCGUCCCAUCAGGUAGUUGGUAGGGUAAUAGCCUACCAAGCCAUAGACGGGUAGCUGGUCUGAGAGGACGAUCAGCCACAUUGGGACUGAGACACGGCCCAGACACCUACGGGUGGCAGCAGUGGGGAAUUUUCGGCAAUGGGCGAAAGCCUGACCGAGCUAUGCCGCGCGCAGGAUUAAGGCCUUCGGGUUGUAAACUGCUGUGGAGAGCUACUAAAUCAAUGAAGAGCUCUCUAGAAAGGGGUUGCUAACUCUGUGCCAGCAGCAGCGGUAAUACAGAGACCCCAAGCGUUAUCCGGUUUUAUUGGGCGUAAAGCGUUCCGAUCGGUGGUUUGAUAAGUUUAGUGUUAAAGACCGCAGCUUAACUGCGUGUUUGCUCUAAAAACUGUCUCACUAGAGAGAUCAAGAGGUAGCUGGAACUCUACAAGUAGGGGUGAAAUCCGUUGAUAUGUAGGGGAACACCAAAAGCGAAGGCAAGCUACUGGGGAUUUUCUGACACUGCUAGGACGAAAGCGUGGGUAGCGAUACGGAUUAGAUACCCGUGUAGUCCACGCCCUAAACGAUGAGUAUUUGUUUUUGGAGAGAAUCAACCCUUUUCAGAAGCGACGUUAACACAUUAAAUACUCCGCCUGUAUAGUACGGCCGCAAGGCUAAAACACAAAGGAAUUGACGGGAACCCGCACAAGCAGUGGAUCAUGUGGCUUAAUUCGAUAGCAAGCGAGGAACCUCACCUAGGUUUGACAUGCAUUUGCAAAUCCGACGAAAGUUGGACUCCUUCGAGGGUAAUGCACAGGUGAUGCACGGUCGUCGUCAGCUCGUGUCGUGAGAUGUUCGGUUAAGUCCGGUAACGAGCGCAACCCUAAUCCUUAGUUAUUUAAUGUCUAAGGAGACUGCCCAAGUUUAAUUGGGAGGAAGGCUAGGAUGACGUCAGAUCAGCGUGUCCCUUACACCUAGGGCUGCACACAUGAUACAAUGGGCAAGGUACAAUGAGACAGCAAUUACGCGAGUAUGAGCAAAUCCCACCAAAACCUCCCUCAGUUCGGAUUGAAGGCUGAAAUUCGCCUUCAUGAAGCUGGAAUUGCUAGUAAUCGCGCAUCAGCCUCUUCGCGGUGAAUACGUUCUCGGGUUUUGUACACACUGCCCGUCAAGGUCUGGGAAUUAGGGGAGCCCCAAA
rnacentral:rRNA from 1 species